AUUGAACGCUGGCGGCAGGCCUAACACAUGCAAGUCGAACGAGUGGCGGACGGGUGAGCAGUGUCUGGGAAAGUGCUUGAUGUAGGGCUAUAAAUAUUGGAACCGGUAGCUACGACUGCAAACCACCCUUUGUGCCCAGAUGGGAUUAGCUAGGAGGUGGGGUAAAGGCUCACCUAGGCGACGAUCCCUCGCUGGUCUGAGAGGAUGACCGGCCACACUGGAACUGAGACACGGUCCAGACUCCUACGGGAGGCAGCAGUGGGGAAUAUUGGGCAAUGGGCGCAAGCCUGAUGCAGCCAUGCCGCGUGUAUGAAGAAGGCCUUCGGGUUGUAAAGUACUUUCAGCGGGGAGGCGUUACCCGCAGAAGAAGCAACGGCUAACUCCGUGCCAGCAGCCGCGGUAAUAC
rnacentral:rRNA from 1 species